UACGUAGGGUGCGAGCGUUAAUCGGAACUACUGGGCGUAAAGCGUGCGCAGGCGGUUCGCCAAGUCAGGUGUGAAAUCCCCGGGCUUAACCUGGGAAUUGCGCUUGAAACUAGCGAGCUUGAGUGUGGCAGAGGGGGGUGGAAUUCCACGUGUAGCAGUGAAAUGCGUAGAGAUGUGGAGGAACACCGAUGGCGAAGGCAGCCCCCUGGGCCAAUACUGACGCUCAUGCACGAAAGCGUGGGGAGCAAACAGG
rnacentral:rRNA from 1 species